AGUAAAAUCAGCUAAAUAAGCUUUUGGGCCCAUACCCCAAGAAUGAAGGUUAAACCCCCUCUUUUACUA
rnacentral:tRNA from 1 species